AGAGUUUGAUCCUGGCUCAGAUUGAACGCUGGCGGCAUGCUUUACACAUGCAAGUCGAACGGCAGCAUAGGUGCUUGCACCUGAUGGCGAGUGGCGGACGGGUGAGUAAUGCAUUGGGACGUGUCCGGAAGAGGGGGAUAACUGUUCGAAAGAACAGCUAAUACCGCAUAAUAUCCGAGGAAGAAAGCUGGGGACCUUAGGGCCUGGCGCUUACGGGGCGACCGAUGUCUGAUUAGCUAGUUGGUGGGGUAACAGCCUACCAAGGCGACGAUCAGUAGCUGGUCUGAGAGGGCGACCAGCCACACUGGGACUGAGAAACGGCCCAGACUCCUACGGGAGGCAGCAGUGGGGAAUUUUGGACAAUGGGGGCAACCCUGAUCCAGCAAUGCCGCGUGUCUGAAGAAGGCCUUCGGGUUGUAAAGGACUUUUGUUGGGGAGCAAGGUGCACAGGUUAAGAGCUAGUGUACUUGAGAGUACCCAAAGAAUAAGGACCGGCUAACUACGUGCCAGCAGCCGCGAUAAUACGUAGGGUCCAAGCGUUAAUCGGAAUUACUGGGCGUAAAGAGUGCGCAGGCGGCUUUGUAAGCUUGAUGUGAAAUCCCCGGGCUCAACCUGGGAACUGCAUUGAGGACUGCAAGGCUAGAGUGUAGCAGAGGGGGGUAGAAUUCCACGUGUAGCAGUGAAGUGCGUAGAGAUGUGGAGGAAUACCGAUGGCGAAGGCAGCCCCCUGGGUUAACACUGACGCUCAUGCACGAAAGCGUGGGGAGCAAACAGGAUUAGAUACCCUGGUAGUCC
rnacentral:rRNA from 1 species